GGAGCCUGAGAAACGGCUACCACAUCUAAGGAAGGCAGCAGGCGCGCAAAUUACCCAAUGAAAACAGUUUCGAGGUAGUGACGAGAAAUAACAAUACAGGGCAUUACAUGUCUUGUAAUUGGAAUGACUUAAAUUUAAACCCCUUUCGGAGUAACAAUUGGAGGGCAAGUCUGGUGCCAGCAGCCGCGGUAAUUCCAGCUCCAAUAGCGUAUAUUAGAGUUGUUGCAGUUAAAAAGCUCGUAGUUGGAUUUCUGUUGGGGGCAUCCCGUCCGCCUUUUGGUGUGCACGGGUCAUCCCUAGCAUUUUCCUGGUUCCCCUUUGCACUUUAUUGUGCUUUGGUUCUCCAGGACGUUUACUUUGAGUAAAAUAGAGUGUUUCAAGCAGGCUUUUGCCUUGAAUACUGCAGCAUGGAAUAAUAAGAUAGGACUUUGGCCCUAUUUUGUUGGUUCUAGGACUAAAGUAAUGAUUAAUAGGGACAGUUGGGGGCAUUCGUA
rnacentral:rRNA from 1 species